GACGAACGCUGGCGGCGUGCUUAACACAUGCAAGUCGAGCGGUAAGGCCCUUUCGGGGGUACGACGAGCGGCAAACGGGUGAGUAACACGUGGGUGACCUGCCCUCAGCUCUGGGAUAAGCCUGGGAAACCGGGUCUAAUACUGGAUAUGACUCCAUGACGCAUGUUGUGGGGUGGAAAGCCUUGUGCGGCUGAGGAUGGGCCCGCGGCCUAUCAGCUUGUUGGUGGGGUGAUGGCCUACCAAGGCGACGACGGGUAGCCGGCCUGAGAGGGCGACCGGCCACACUGGGACUGAGACACGGCCCAGACUCCUACGGGAGGCAGCAGUGGGGAAUCUUGCGCAAUGGGCGAAAGCCUGACGCAGCGACGCCGCGUGAGGGAUGACGGCCU
rnacentral:rRNA from 1 species